AUUUUAGAUUUGAUAUAAUGUGUAUGAUGCAUCAAAUCUAAUUAGAUUAGAUGAAAAACAUAAUUGAUAAGAUCAAAGAUAUAUUCAUGACAUAAUAUUAUUUUUGCAAUAAUUGUAUAUUGAUGUGAUUACACAUAAAAUUAGAUUUUAGAUCUUAGUAGCCUAGUACUCAGAUUAAUAAAAUCACCAGACCAUCUGAUCAUAAG
rnacentral:lncRNA from 1 species